AGAGUGCCUGAUCCAAAUCCUACUGCAUUAGUGGUAAAUUUCUCCUUGACCACAGGGAAUUUUGGAUGAGAUCCCAUGCUCUGAUUUUGGCAGUCAGCUUGGCUACCACAUCACAGUCCACUUCAGCUUGAAACAAGCAAGACCUAAACCAGAGAAAAAAGUGCUGCAGGUCUUGAAGAUCUUAGUUGGAUAUAUUAUCACGUUUACGAUCUGCUGAUGUGAAACAGAAGUGGACAGCAAAAGAAGAGACCAGUACUAAUUUUCAGCGCAGCAUGAAAUCUCAAACUGACCAGAGC
rnacentral:lncRNA from 1 species